GACGAACGCUGGCGGCGUGCUUAACACAUGCAAGUCGAACGGAAAGGCCCUGCGUUUGUGGGGUGCUCGAUUGGCGAACGGGUGAGUAACACGUGAGUAACCUGCCCCUGACUUUGGGAUAACUUCAGGAAACUGGGGCUAAUAUCGGAUAUGAUCUCUUGCUGCAUGGUGUGUGUUGGUAAGUGUCGGCGGUUGGGGAUGGACUCGCGGCUUAUCAGCUGCUUGGGGGGGUAGUGGCGUACCACGGGUUUGACGGGUAGCCCGCCUGAGAGGGUGACCGGGCACAUUGGGCCUGCGAUACGGAGCAGAAUCGUACGGUCGGCAGCAGUCGGGAGUAUGACAGAAUAGGGGGAAGCCUGAUGCGGCGACGCCGCGAGCGGAAUAACGGCCUACGGGUGGUAAACCGCUUUCGAAUGUGACGAAGAGUGAGUGACGGUAAUGGGUAAAGAAGCAACGGCUAACUACGUG
rnacentral:rRNA from 1 species